GCCGGGUGUGGUGGCUCACACCUGUAAUCCCAGCAAUUUGGGAGGCCAAGGCGGGUGGAUCACCUGAGGUCAGGAGUUCGAGACCAGCCUGGCCAACAUGGUGAAACCCCGUCUCUA
ensembl:misc_RNA Metazoa_SRP Metazoan signal recognition particle RNA